rnacentral:piRNA from 1 species
UGGAUACCAUGGUGCUGUGUGACAGU